CUAAACUACAAGCUCUUUAUAGCACAAAAUCUAGUCUAAGACAUAACAGACAAAAACAAGCAAUUGGAAAUUAUAACAAAUACACAUAACCGAGCGCAUAGAAAUGAGAAAAAUAACGCGAUGGAAAUUAGACAACAAUAGUUUUGGCCCGAUAUGGCGAAACAAAUCAAAAACGUUGCACGAAACUGUUCAAAUUGUUAUAAACAAAAAUACGAACGUAGACCAACAAAACAACUGAUAGGGAGAACAUCAACAACAAAUCUACCAGGAGAAUCUAUAAGUAUGGAUAUAUUCCACAUAGGGAAUAGAACAUAUAUAACUAGUAUGUGUAGGUACUCAAAAUAUUUAUUAAUGAGAGAAAUAGCAGAUAAAGUCAACACCGUAGACAAACUAGAAGAAAUUUUCACUCUUACAUACCCAUAUUGCAGAAACCUACAAACCGACAAUGAGAGUAUAUUCACAUCAGGGUAUUCAGACUAGCCUUGUUAAUUCGUUAGUCGUUAAUUCGGUAGUUUUUACAUGUAUUUUGUUUUUGUAAAAUUAACAGACUAUCGUUUUACCGAGUAACGAACUAUCCAGCUGGCAAGCUUGAUAAUUGUUUCGUUACUCGGUAAUAUCACAUCAGCUGUUUGUUUGUUGUUCGUUGCUUUAUUCAUUUUCAACGGAAAAAUAAGUCUGGCGUUCGUUGCUUAUUUUUAAAGGGGAAAAUAAAUUUGGUGCACACUCGUGAGUUUGGAAAAAUUUUGCAAAAUGGAACCUCAAAAGAAAAUACGCAAGAUGGCAAAGCCUCAAAAAAUGGAGUGAGGAGGAAAACUAUUUGAUUCUAGAAUAUUUACUAGAAAAUGUGGAAAUUGAGAAACCAAACGCCCAAUUUUACUACAAAAAAUUAGUUGAAACAACAAAUAUAUGCGACUACGGACAUGUUGCCCUGCAAGGUCCGGUACUGGAAGCAGAUGUAUAAUAAAGCUGAGGAGUGGCGCAAAUCGACUGGUGCUGGAAUAGACGUUGGCGAUGAUGUUUCCUCAAUAAAAGCAAAACUUUUACAAAUGUGUCCGAAUUAUGAACGGUUUUCGGUUCUAUUUGGGAGUAAAUCCGAAGCCAAUUGUGUUGUAGAGACGUACAACCCUAAAGUGUCACAAUACUGCAGCGAUUUUUCAGACCUUGUAGAGGUAGUGGAAAUUCCAGCCGAAUUAUCACAAUCAUCUGCGGAACCAUCGGGUUCACUUAACGACAAAGCAGAACAGACAACAGUAGGAGCAGAGGUAGCAACAGAUCCUCCUACCACUCCGUCGUUCCUCGAAAAAGUGAAAAAACGUGCUCCAAAAAAUAUUCUUAGUGAACUUAAAAAUAUACAAAAGAAAAGAGAACAGUUUUUUGAGCAACGAAUAGAAAUUGAAAAAGAAAAGUUAAAUUUGGAAAAGUUAAAGCUAAAAUUGAUAAAGAAAAGUUAAAUAAAGAUUUUGAAAUAAAAAAAUUGGAGUUAGAGCAAAAAGUAAGACUGGCGAUGAUUGAACUAAAAUUCAAAUAUAAUAUGUAACAAUUUUAUAUGUAUGUUUUGUAUAAUAAUUUUUAAGAAUGUACAAAUAUAUCUAAAUGUGAU